rnacentral:rRNA from 1 species
AACGAACGCUGGCGGCAGGCUUAACACAUGCAAGUCGAACGCCCCGCAAGGGGAGUGGCGCACGGGUGAGUAACGCGUGGGAAUAUGCCCUUCGGUUCGGAAUAACACAGGGAAACUUGUGCUAAUACCGGAUACGAUCUACGGAUGAAAGAUUUAUCGCCGAGGGAGUAGCCCGCGUAGGAUUAGCUAGUUGGUGAGGUAAUGGCUCACCAAGGCGACGAUCCUUAGCUGGUCUGAGAGGAUGAUCAGCCACACUGGGACUGAGACACGGCCCAGACUCCUACGGGAGGCAGCAGUGGGGAUAUUGGACAAUGGGCGAAAGCCUGAUCCAGCCAUGCCGCGUGAGUGAUGAAGGCCUUAGGGUUGUAAAGCUCUUUCGCCAGGGGAGAAUAAGCAUCGGUAUAAUACGCCGGUGCCCUGACGGUACCCUGCAAGAAGCACCGGCUAACUCCGUGCCAGCAGCCGCGGUAAUCU